GACACCCAAUGGACAGACGGGACAGGAGUGAAAUGACGUUCUGAGUUAACUACACUCCAGGACUUGAACACUUCAGACAAUGAGGACAAACAGGUGACAGGGAUGAAGACUGUGUUGAGCUCGUGUGGUUCUGUGACGCUUCUCAAGAAGCCUGAUCCUCCCUGCCUCUGGUCACAACCCAAGUGUCCUGACAUUAAACAUCCUGGACAUGGAAUCAAAUCAAAUCAAAUCAAACUCUCCCCUACUGAACACAGACGUCAGUGCUUCCUCUGCCCUGAGCCUUUACGUACCCAACACCUGACCUUUGCCCCUGAUGCAGCAGACUGAACAACGGGUUGAACUGUGACCCGGACUAUGUUGAGUAGACUCCAACACCUGACCUCUGACCCUGAUGCAGCAGACUGAACAACGGGUUGACCUGUGACCCGGACCAUGUUCAGUAGACUCCAACACCUGACCUCUGCCCUUGAUGCAGCAGACUGAACAACGGGUUGACCUGUGACCCGGACCAUGUUCAGUAGACUCCAACACCUGACCUCUGCCCUUGAUGCAGCAGACUGAACAACGGGUUGACCUGUGACCUGGACCAUGUUCAGGACCAUGUUCAGUAGACUCCAAUGGGACGAACACAUUUAAACGGGGGAGGUUCUACCAGAAUUGAGCAAAUCGAAACGCUGAAAAAUGUAUUUUUGUUGAUUCUUUGUAUUUUGUCUCAUUGGUUGUUUUUCCUCCUUGUUUAGGAGCUGCUACAGUGUUUCCCAGACCCCAAGUCCUCCCAUUUACCAAUGUUUCCCAAGUCCUCCCCUUUACCAGUGUUUCCCAGACCCCAAGUCCUCCCAUUUACCAAUGUUUCCCAAGUCCUCCCCUUUACCAGUGUUUCCCAGACCCCAAGUCCUCCCAUUUACCAAUGUUUCCCAAGUCCUCCCCUUUACCAGUUUCCCAAGUUUUUACCAAUGUUUCCCAGACCCCAAGUCCUCCCAUUUACCAAUGUUUCCCAAGUCCUCCCCUUUACCAGUGUUUCCCAAGUCCUCCCCUUUACCAGUGUUUCCCAGACCCCAAGUCCUCCCAUUUACCAAUGUUUCCCAGACCCCAAGUCCUCCCAUUUACCAAUGUUUCCCAGACCCCAAGUCCUCCCAUUUACCAAUGUUUCCCAAGUCCUCCCCUUUACCAGUGUUUCCCAGACCCCAAGUCCUCCCAUUUACCAAUGUUUCCCAAGUCCUCUCCUUUACCAGUGUUUCCCAGACCCCAAGUCCUCCCAUUUACCAAUGUUUCCCAGACUCCAAGUCCUCCCAUUUACCAGUGUUUCCCAGACCCCAAGUCCUCCCCUUUACCAGUGUUUCCCAGACCCCAAGUCCUCCCAUUUACCAAUGUUUCCCAAGUCCUCUCCUUUACCAGUGUUUCCCAGACCCCAAGUCCCCCCUUUACCAGUGUUUCCCAGACUCCAAGUCCUCCCCUUUACCAGUGUUUCCCAGACCCCAAGUCCUCCCCUUUACCAGUGUUUCCCAGACCCCAAGUCCUCCCCUUUACCAGUGUUUCCCAGACCCCAAGUCCCCCCUUUACCAGUGUUUCCCAGACGCCAAGUCCCCCCUUUACCAGUGUUUCCCAGACCCCUGUCCUGUCCCCCCAUUAUCAAUGUUUCCCAUGUCCUGUCCCCCUUUACCAAUGUUUCCCAGACCCCUGUCCCCCCUUUACCAGUGUUUCCCAGAUCCCAAGUCCUGCCCUUUACCAGUGUUUCCCAGACCCCUGUCCUAUCCCCCCUUUACCAGUGUUUCCCAGACCCCAAGUCCCCCUUUACCAGUGUUUCCCAUGUCCUGUCCCCCCUUUACCAGUUGUUUCCCAUGUCCUGUCCUCCCCUUUACCAGUGUUUCCCAUGUCCUGUCCCCCCUUUACCAGUGUUUCCCAUGUUCUGUCCCCCCUUUACCAGUGUUUCCCAUGUCCUGUCCCCCCUUUUACCAGUGUUUCCCAUGUCCUGUCCCCCCUUUACCAGUGUUUCCCAUGUCCUGUCCCCCCUUUACCAGUGUUUCCCAUGUCCUGUCCCCCCUUUACCAGUGUUUCCCAGACCCCAAGUCCCCCUUUACCAAUGUUUCCCAUGUCCUGUCCCCCCUUUACCAAUGUUUCCCAUGUCCUGUCCCCCCUUUACCAGUGUUUCCCAGACCCCUGUCCUGUCCCCCC
ensembl:lncRNA